GCCUGGGUGGCUUAGUCAGGUAAGCGUCCGACUUCAUGAUCUCACAGCUUGUGGGUUCGAGCCCCACACCGGGCU
rnacentral:tRNA from 1 species